rnacentral:rRNA from 1 species
GACGAACCGUGCGAUCGUUAUUCGGAAUCACUGGGCUUAAAGCGCGUGUAGGCGGGUCGGAACGUCGGUCGCUGAAAUCCCCCGGCUUAACCGGGGAACGGGCGCCGAAACGGCCGGCCUGGAGGGACGUAGGGGGAACUGGAACUUCCGGUGGAGCGGUGAAAUGCGUUGAGAUCGGAAGGAACGCCCGUGGCGAAAGCGGGUUCCUGGACGUCUGCUGACGCUGAGACACGAAAGCGUGGGUAGCAAACAGG